rnacentral:rRNA from 1 species
GAGGAAUAUUGGGCAAUGGGGGAAACCCUGACCCAGCAACGCCGCGUGAAGGAAGAAGGCUUUCGGGUUGUAAACUUCUUUUACCAGGGACGAAGAAAGUGACGGUACCUGGAGAAAAAGCCACGGCUAACUACGUGCCAGCAGCCGCGGUAAUACGUAGGUGGCGAGCGUUGUCCGGAUUUACUGGGUGUAAAGGGCGUGUAGGCGGAGAUUCAAGUCAGGAGUAAAAUCUAUGGGCUUAACCCAUAAACUGCUUUUGAAACUGAAUCCCUUGAGUAUCGGAGAGGCAGGCGGAAUUCCUAGUGUAGCGGUGAAAUGCGUAGAUAUUAGGAGGAACCCCAGUGGCGAAGGCGGCCUGCUGGACGACAACUGACGCUGAGGCGCGAAAGCGUGGGGAGCAAACAGGAUUAGAUACCCUGGUAGUCCACGCUGUAAACGAUGAAUACUAGGUGUGGGGGGACUGACCCCUUCCGUGCCGCAGUUAACACAAUAAGUAUUCCACCU